rnacentral:rRNA from 1 species
UACGUAGGGGGCGAGCGUUGUCCGGAUUCAUUGGGCGUAAAGAGCUCGUAGGCGGCUUGGCAAGUCGGAUGUGAAAACUCCAGGCUCAACCUGGAGCCGCCAUUCGAUACUGCUAUGGCUAGAGUCCGGUAGGGGAGUGUGGAAUUCCUGGUGUAGCGGUGGAAUGCGUAGAUAUCCGGAAGAACACCGGAGGCGAAGGCGGCUUGCUGGACCUGGUCUGACGCUGAGGCGCGAAAGCGUGGGGAGCGAACAGG